rnacentral:lncRNA from 1 species
GUUCUGUGAGGUUUUGCCCUGCCUGUUUUUUGAAAACACUCUGUAUUUCCUUGCAGUAUCACUUGGCCACAGUGGAAAUAGUUAUUUUCAGGUUUUGGUUUUUUUUUUUUGGCUUUUGGCAGUGCUUACCAACUUGAUUCUGGGAUUACCUGUUCAAUACAAAUCAAUUAGUAAUAAUUGUGUCCUACAGAAAAGUAUGUUGGGCUUUAAGAAGUUGUCUCAGAGUGUAUUCGUGCAGCUUGUAGGGUGGGGUAAGCUCGGUGCAGAGUGCUUGCCUAACAUGCAAGUGGCACUGAGUCCACCCCGUACCUACCCACCCCCAAACACAGGGAGAAAUAAAGAAAAGCAGACGAGCAUCCCUCGUCUGCAAUGCUGGUCCCAGAAGUGUUUUAGAUUUCAGAUUUUUGGUUUUUGGAUUUUGGAAUGUUUACAUACACAUAUUCAUCUUGCAGGUGUGAUGUACAUCUCAACACACACUUCAUAUAUGCCUCAGGGCCACUUAAGAACAGUCUGAAACUCCUGUAGGCAGGACUUCUAGUGCACUUGGACUCUGGCUGGGACCUAUCCAUGAAGUCUUAUGUGGAAUGUUCCUCUUGGGCUGUCAUAUCAACCCUCAAAAAGUCUUGGACUUUUGAGAAUUUGUAUUUCAGAUUUUUGGAUUACGGAUGCUCAAUCUGCAACAGUAAACAAAAAGGCAACUGUUCGUAGCGUUGAACCAGAGGGGCUGGAGGGGCCCGAGGGCCCCGAAAAGUGGCAGCUUUAUCAUGCAGCUUCUGCAGGUACUGCCAGCGUUCCUACCUGAGUCUAUCCAGGACACCUGAGCAGUGGCCAUCAGGUGUUGGGCAUUUCCCUUUCCAUAUCACAGUCUGUCCCAGUACUGUCUGUCCUGGGAAGACCCCAGUGCAUUCUUGACCAAGUACAGACAGG